rnacentral:rRNA from 1 species
GUAUACCUACGGGGCGCAGCAGUGGGGAAUAUUGCACAAUGGGGGAAACCCUGAUGCAGCAACGCCGCGUGAGUGAAGAAGUAUUUCGGUAUGUAAAGCUCUAUCAGCAGGGAAGAAGAUGACGGUACCUGACCAAGAAGCCCCGGCUAACUACGUGCCAGCAGCCGCGGUAAUACAUAGGGGGCAAGCGUUAUCCGGAUUUACUGGGUGUAAAGGGCGUGUAGGCGGGAGCGCAAGUCAGAUGUGAAAACUCAGGGCUCAACCCUGAGCCUGCAUUUGAAACUGUGUUUCUUGAGUGCUGGAGA